UACGAAGGGGGCUAGCGUUGCUCGGAUUUACUGGGCGUAAAGGGCGCGUAGGCGGUCGUGACAAGUCACUUGUGAAAUCUCCAGGCUUAACUCGGAACGGUCAAGUGAUACUGUCGGACUAGAGUACAGAAGGGGCAACUGGAAUUCUCGGUGUAGCGGUGAAAUGCGUAGAUAUCGAGAGGAACACCGAUGGCGAAGGCAGGUCUCUGGGCCAUAACUGACGCUGGAGAAGCGAAAGCAUGGGAGCGAACAGG
rnacentral:rRNA from 1 species